ACCGCCCGUCACACCACGAGAGUUUGUAACACCCGAAGUCGGUGGGGUAACCCUUACGGGAGCCAGCCGCCGAAGGUGGGACAGAUGAUUGGGGUGAAGUCGUAACAAGGUAGCCGUAUCGGAAGGUGCGGCUGGAUCACCUCCUUU
rnacentral:rRNA from 1 species